rnacentral:tRNA from 1 species
GCCCCCGUAGCUCAAUGGACAGAGCAACUGCCUUCUAAGCAGGAGGUUGUGGGUUCGAAUCCCGCCGGGGGCGCAA